rnacentral:rRNA from 1 species
UACGGGGGGGAGCAAGCGUUGUUCGGAUUUACUGGGCGUAAAGGGCGCGUAGGCGGCCACCGCAAGUCAGUUGUGAAAUCUCUGGGCUUAACCCAGAAAGGUCAACUGAUACUGCGGGGCUAGAGUGCAGAAGGGGCAACUGGAAUUCUCGGUGUAGCGGUGAAAUGCGUAGAUAUCGAGAGGAACACCUGCGGCGAAGGCGGGUUGCUGGGCUGACACUGACGCUGAUGCGCGAAAGCUAGGGGAGCGAAGCGGG